GACGAACGCUGGCGGCGUGCCUAAUACAUGCAAGUUGAGCGCUGAAGGUUGGUACUUGUACCAACUGGAUGAGCAGCGAACGGGUGAGUAACGCGUGGGGAAUCUGCCUUUGAGCGGGGGACAACAUUUGGAAACGAAUGCUAAUACCGCAUAAAAACUUUGAACACAAGUUUUAAGUUUGAAAGAUGCAAUUGCAUCACUCAAAGAUGAUCCCGCGUUGUAUUAGCUAGUUGGUGAGGUAAAGGCUCACCAAGGCGAUGAUACAUAGCCGACCUGAGAGGGGGAUCGGCCACAUUGGGACUGAGACACGGCCCAAACUCCUACGGGAGGCAGCAGUAGGGAAUCUUCGGCAAUGGACGAAAGUCUGACCGAGCAACGCCGCGUGAGUGAAGAAGGUUUUCGGAUCGUAAAACUCUGUUGGUAGAGAAGAACGUUGGUGAGAGUGGAAAGCUCAUCAAGUGACGGUAACUACCCAGAAAGGGACGGCUAACUACGUG
rnacentral:rRNA from 1 species